AUAGCGUAUAUUAAAGUUGUUGCAGUUAAAAAGCUUGUAGUUGAAUUUCGGGAUCAAUAUUUCGGUCAUGCCGUUGGUAUGCACUGUUAUCAUUGAUUUCUCCCCUUCUAAAGAACCGUAAUGCCAUUAAUUUGGUGUUACGGGGAAUUAGGACUGUUACCUUGAAAAAAUUAGAGUGUUUAAAGCAGGCUCACGCUUGAAUACAUUAGCAUGGAAUAAUGAAAUAGGACAUCCGAUUCUAUUUUGUUGGUUUCUAGGAUCGAUGUAAUGAUUAAUAGGGAUAGUUGGGGGCAUUAGUAUUCAAUUGUCAAAGGUGAAAUUCUUGGAUUUAUUGAAGACUAACUACUGCGAAAGCAUUUGCCAAGGAUGUUUUCAUUAAUCAAGAACGAAAGUUAGGGGAUCGAAGACGAUCAGAUAC
rnacentral:rRNA from 1 species